AUUUCGUUCGCGCUUUGCUGCUCCAGGGUUUUAAUCGGAACGAGCUCGAGAGAAAAAUCCCCAAAAUUUCCUCCGAAACCAGAGCAACCAACGGAAGGUUCAGUGAUCGAGGAUGCAGAUCUCACUGUUCGCGAGUUUUGCCACGCCGUUCUUCGCCAGCUGGGCCUCCUCCUCCUCAGCUAUGGAGUACCUCCAUCAUUACCAUUCUCAGUUGUUCUCCAUUGUGAUGUGAAACCGACUAUCAUUCUUCUCGAUGAUUUUGGCAUUGCAAAAUGACUGACUGAUGAUGACCAAAGUGUAACCUCAGCAAGCAUACCUGGGACAAUUGGCUAUAUAGUUCCAGAGUACGCAUCGACUGGAAAAGUUUCAGCUGCGAAAGGGAGAUCUCUAUAGCUUCGAAAUAUUGUUUCUAGAAAUCUUCACGAGAAAGAAGCCUAUUGAUCCUAUGUUCACUGGAGAAUCGAGCUUGAGGCAACGGGUAUGCAGCGCAAAUCCUAGCAGCCUGUUGGAUAUUGUGGACUACAAUCUCUUGAAAGAUGAAAAUGGAAAUGAAAGGCACAAUGAAUGACGUCUUAAUUUCCGUGCAGGCUUGUGUAUCUUGUAUCAUGGAGUUGGGAAUUAUCUGUUCGAGUGACUUACCUAAAGAAAGGCAUGUUAUGGAAGACGUUAUUCCAAAAUUGCAAAAGAUCAAGAUGCACGAUUUGUCAGUGUCUGGUGUUGUUUGAAACAUGCCCACACCGUACCUGUUUAUCCCAAGAGUAGCGGACAUUCUGUGAGAUCGCGAGGCGAUAAUGAGAAGUACGUAUUUUGUGUCUUAAUUUUGUUGAGCAGAUUUGGUUGAUAUUCUUAGUAUCUUAUUCUUUGCUAUGAGCGGGCAACCGGAAUGAGCGUGCUACCACUGGACGAGUAGUUCAUGAUCGAUCUGCUUAAGCUUGAUCAUGCAACAACUCUUGACAUUUUCAUUCGCAUCCUCAUUGUAUAUAAUUACAAAAUUCCUGCUAGACGAAAUGCUCUUGAUAUGUUAUGUAAGUUUGUCUGCGCAUUAUUGCAUGUGCAAACACACGUGCGACGGGCAUUAAAACUUAAGCCACUCUAAUAUCCUAAAGUUUCAUCGAUUUUUUAAAAGGUCUUUCUAAGAU